CAAAUACAAGAAGUUAACACCUGGAUGGAUGCAGAAUGCCAAUGAAGAAAAUUCCAUUAUACCAUCAGCUCUGGCUUCCUGGAUGACCCAGGAAACAGGAAGCAGAGAGACUUCUCCAAAUGGUUAGCCAUAGAGACCAGGAGGAAGCUCAGAAUAGUCUGCACGACCAUGUGGAACUGGUACAGAGGGAAUAGUAGUUGCUGAAGAAACAGUCAACAAGAUGAAUUUCUUCACCAAAAAGAUGAAGCGGACAUCCUCUGCCAUCAAUACCUGAAUAUAAGGAUAUAAAUUCUAUGAAAACA